rnacentral:misc_RNA from 1 species
AUAAAAUCGACUUCGACCCCGACGCAAGACCAUUGCCAGAACAAAUAACAAUCGGUAACAAUCCCUAGCUGGCACGAGUGCCUGGAUUAAAAAAAAAUUGCAUGCCCAGACUGGGCGUAGGUUAAGCGGAUGUAUUCAUGCCUUACCUUAUGUGUAAAUAAUAGCUGUACUGUGAAUUCUUCAUUCUUGUGUUAUCAUCGCAUGAUCAUCGGCAUCCGUUACUAAAUGUUACACGAACACACUCCUCACAUGAAGGAUGGAACCAAUUAUUCUAUUCUUGAUGACUGCAACUGUUGGACUGCUCACAGUCUGGAUUAUCAAACAAUUGUUGAUAGGGCGUCCAAAGAAUCUACCACCCGGUCCAUCAUGGAUUCAGAUUGUUGGUAUAGCGUGGACAGCAUGCAGGGCUGGAUUGAACCCUCUGACUGUCUUAUCAUCAUGGGCUAAGAAGUACGGUGAGAUCGUGUCCUUCUACGUUGGCACGAAGCCUUUCGUCAUCCUCAACUCGUAUCCAAUAAUCGUAGAGGCCUUCCGACAUCCUGAUCUUCAAGGUCGACCACAAAGUAGAAUGCGGGAAGAGGUUGUCGGGCCUGACUGCAAAGGUGUGGUUUUCGCUAGCGGUCUGGUUUGGAAGGAGCAACGUAAGUUCGUCCAUUCUGUUUUCAGGAGUCUGGGUGUUGGCAAGAAGAGCUAUGAAGAUACCGUUCUAGCCGAGAUGACUCAGCUCUGUACGAACAUUGAAGAGAAGAGGGGUUCUCCUUUUGGUCCUAGUAUUUUCUUUAUGCAAGCGAUUUCAAACAUCAUUUGCUCUGUGGUCCUUGGAACUCAGUACAAGUACGAUGACGCCGACUUCCAACAGAUAUUACAAAUUCUGAACGAUAAUAUAAGGCAGUCGGGAGCCGGUGGAACACUCUUCUUUCUUCCUCUUCCUGGAAUUUCAAAGAUUCCAUUCGGAAAGGUAAAAACCAUGGUGGAUAACUUUAAGACGUUCCAAGCCUUUAUUACGUCACAGAUAGAAUCUCACGAAGCGAAUUUUGACCCGUGCAAUCCGAGGGAUUUCGUCGACCAAUAUCUUAUCAAGAUGUCAGAAAUUGAGGACACCAAUUCGCCGUUCACCAAGAUGAACUUGAAUAGCUGUAUCGCAGACCUUUUCAUAGCUGGCUCCGAAACCACGGCCACGACCCUAUCGUGGUGUAUUCUCUUCAUGAUGGCCUACCCGGAGGUUCAAUCACGUGUCCAAGAAGAACUCGAUCACGUGAUCGGCAGAGAACGUCUUCCAAGGCUGAAUGACCAGGGGAAUCUUCCUUACACCUGUGCUGUACUAAUGGAGAUACAGCGAAAAGGCGUCAUCGCUCCACUAGGUGUGCCUCAUCUGGCUUCUGCUGACACCGCGAUAGGAGGCUAUACCAUACCAAAGGGCGCCACCGUUGUGUCUAACAUCUUCGAAGUUCUGAACAACGAGGAUCUGUGGAGAAACCCUGACGCCUUUGAACCUAGGAGGUUCCUCAAUCAAAAAGGAGAGGUCGUAAAGAGAGAUGAAUUGAUAUUUUUCAGCACGGGUCGCCGUGUGUGUCUUGGAGAACAGCUUGCCAGGAUGGAGACAUUCUUGGGUUUUACCAGUCUCCUUCAACGAUUCACCUUCAAGAAACCCGACAGUUCACCUGCCCUUUCUUUUGAUGGUGUCGUAGGCGUGACUCGAAACCCCCAACCUUAUCUGACAAGUGCAACUCCAAGAUACUGACAUUUCUUUCUAUUCAAGUCAACUUUUUUGUUGGGGUGGACUUGUCCUUUGUGUGAGGAAGUACUUCUCCUUUUCCUGUAGCUUCAUGAUCGAGUGUGCAACAUUAUACAUCGAACUCUAUCCAGUCUCUAUCAAGACGUCUUCGAGCCCUAUUAUCUCUUGGUGGUAAAGUGAACGGUUUGUCAUUGGACCGAAAUAACCAUAAUAAUAAUUAUAGGAACAAGAAAUCCUAUUUAAUAUUUCCAAAAUCUCAUGCUUUCAAGCUUCAAACUAUCAAAAUUUAAAGUAAUAAUUUGUGUGUAUUUUUUUUUGCAUUAGUAUAUUUUAUUUUGCUGACAUGUUUUACUUUUCUACAGAAUAUAAGAAUUUAUUGUAAGAUUGUUCUAGAUUAAGGUCUUUAUAGCUAUGUAAUCAUUUAUUCGCCCUGCAUUAUUAUCUGUAUUAGUCUUUCCUGUCUCUGCAUUAAUGCGUCAUUGCCUAUGCUAAUAUCAUACACCAAAUUAUAUGAGCCUAGGUUAGGGUAAACCAAAGUUAUCGCUUUCACAAGGACUUCAGAAUAAGAUGAAAGAAUGUCACUGUGAUCUUGACCUUUGACCUCAAAAUCAGUAGGCUUCCUGUGAUCCAUGCAAGUACGCACACCAACUUAUAUGAGCCUUGGUUAAGUUAAACUGAAGUUAUCUCGAUUGCAAGGACUUCAGAAGGGUAAGAUGAAAACAUGUCACUGUGAUCUUGACCUUUGACUUUCUGACCUAAAAUCAAUCGCUUCCUAAGGAUCUAUACUUGUAUCAUAUACACCAAAUAAUAUGAGCAUAGGUAAAGUUAAACUGAAGUUAUCGUGUUUACAAGAAAAAGUUAACGGACAGACGUAGACAGACGGACAUCUAGUGUGAUACCGUCCAAUCCUACCGGCGCACAGUGGGCCGGGGCGAAACAAAAGUGCGCCAAAAGUCAUUUUGGGCAAUUUCAGAUUUUUAAUUUUUGUCAAGCCCAGCUGAAAGACAAUACU